rnacentral:lncRNA from 1 species
AUGGUAGAGAUCACGAAUGAUGUCCAGUCCUUGCUGCUGAUAAUGCUGGCUGUCAUGGUGGCCAAGAUGGUUGGUGACUUUUUUAACGCGUCCCUGUACAGUUCCCUCCUGAGGCUGAAAUGCAUUCCCUACUUGGAUGUGGAACCUUUUGUUCAUCACGGGAAAAAAUGGUUGAACCUGGAAUUGUUCUCUGCCAGGGAUGUCAUGGAGCCUCACGUCAGAGUCCUUCACCUAAAGGAAAACAUUGCUUCCUUGGCCCAGCUUCUUGCAAGUACAAACCACGGUGGAUUCCCAGUGGUUUGCAGGCCCAAGCCAGACCACGCAGAGGUGUUUCAGGGAACUAUUAAAAGGCUAGAGCUGUGCAUGCUGCUGGAAAAUGAGCACAUCUUCGAACCAGAGACAAACCAUGAGUCUUUUUCCUCUUCUCAUCCUCUGUCCUAUGAGAAGAUAACAGUGGAGAAGCUGCCCAAUCUGUCGCGUCUAACCAUGCUGCUGAAUCGCUACACUACAGAUCCCCGGUAUCAGCAACUCUUCAUCAAUCUGGGAGGCACAGUGCUCUCACUCUGUAAUAAUGCUGAUUGA